GGGUGAAAAUAUCCACACACACACUCACACACAAACAAACACCCCCCCAAACACCCCCCCCCGAAGCUGCAUGCUCGGUGAAAGAGGAUGGCCAUCCCAGAUAGGAAUGCACUGUUCUUGGGUCAAGGGCAUACAAUA